rnacentral:rRNA from 1 species
UACGGGGGGGGGCAAGCGUUGUUCGGAAUUACUGGGCGUAAAGGGUUCGUAGGUGGCCAACUAAGUCAGACGUGAAAUCCCUCGGCUCAACCGGGGAACUGCGUCUGAUACUGGUUGGCUUGAGUGCAGGAGAGGAACGCGGAAUUCCAGGUGUAGCGGUGAAAUGCGUAGAUAUCUGGAGGAACACCGGUGGCGAAGGCGGCAUCCUGGACCGACACUGACGCUGAGGCGCGAAAGCUAGGGGAGCAAACGGG